UCACCAAUUCAAGAUGUGGGCACGUAUUCUCGAAAACACGAGAGCUAGUGCCAUGGGAAGCGUGUAUAUGAGCGGUGAUCAUGAAUUUGUGCUCAGUAGGUGUCAAAGAAGCCCGUAGGCCAUGCACCACCGCACUAGACGGCGCGCUGAUCGGCUCGUGUUCGCCAACUAAAGCGGGAGACACACGGUCCGAUUUGGUGUCCGAUCCGGCGUCUGACGCGCCGAAACUGCAGCCCGAAUCGAGGUGUUUUGCCGUGCCGAAGCGCCGGAUCGGACGUCCGGCGUGCGACAAACCGGGCAGAUUUUCAUCGUUCGACGUGUCCGACAACUGCACCGUCGUCUGGCCGCAGCCAUUGGCAGCGCGGCUGGCAUGUGACGUUCUCUGACGUUCCCUCCACGGAGGCGGUGCUGGCUUUCCGGUUUCUCGCAGUUAUUCUUUUUCCUUGCCUGCUGCAGUUUGUUUCUGACAUGAAAUAGUUACCAGUUCAGUAAAAUUAUCUCGAACGUGUGCCUGUUACGCAAACCAGCGCCUUGUACACUAGCGCUAAGCUACUGGUGAGAUCGGGAGCCGCGACGCGAGGGCAUUUCGCGAGCAGACAUCACACACCGACCGUCUGAGCGAGGCCGCUUGCACGUUUGCCCUUCGCAACGACUGCGUCGAGUAAACCAAUUGUAUUUAAUUACGGCCGACCUAAGUGUACAGUGUUCAUUGUUUUGGCAAAAAUAAGCACUCUUCGACGAGCUCGGACUGGAUCGCAAGCGCCGUCGGCUGCAGCGUCCGCCUAGCUAUGCCUACCGGCCCUAUCGCUGGCUUUAGCGGAGCCGUCAGUGGACAACGCGCCGUCGUGAAGUGUUCUGUCACUCACAGGGGCAUAAGUUUAUCGACAGCCUUCGCGUAAAGCGAAGCAGUGUGGUGCAGAGUUGUUUAUAUUGCGUUUCUCGACGUGGAUAUCAACUCAAGCUGGGGAGUUGGAUGUGGGCGGAGCUUACGCGCCGCUCAUGCCGUAGCAUGCAGCGCCGCACGUCGGAUCGGACACCGAAUCGUACCGCGUGCGUCUGUAUAGCUCGCUCAUGGUUCGGCUGAAGUCCCCGUAUACACUUUAUAAAUAAGGAAGCCUACCUAGGCACUGUAAACCCAAUUAUUGGGGCCUAAAUGCCUCUCCGCCUCCUACUACGGCUUCCUUUGAGUGACAGUCUGAUCUCGAAGGCCAUGCUUUUGCAACCUGCAUGCACCUGAAGCAAUUGCGAAUCUUGAAGGCAACAUCCGCUUAGUUUUUAUUAUAUAUACAUUUCCUUAAACUUCGUAUCACAAAGUACAAAGUACACACUUCUGGACCAAAUAAAUUUAUUAAAAGACUCUAUCAAAUGUUAUUAGGAAAAAACACGCAAUUUUUUCAUUUAAGAUACAUUUUUCUAAAAAACCGCAGAGUGGCGCUACUGUAGUAUUUGUUUGGUCGACACACCACGUUGGUUGUCGUAAGUGCUCCCUGCAGUAAGGUGGUAUUUGAGGUAAAUUUUAGAAGUGCCUAGACAAAACGUGCUGCUUGUUGUGUGCAGUGACCAUCCCAAACCCUCCGGACUCGUGUAACGCCAUUAGUUCGCCGUGUGUUUCGAGCGAUCCACCAGUGUCGUCAGUGAGUGCCCUAGUACAGCUCCCGUCCGAACUGCCUUUGUUCUGCCGAGCUGCUGCCGGCGCUGUUCUGCCGGCGCUCUCGUCAAAAGUCUGGUACUGGGGCUUCGAAUUGUAGUGUUUGGAAGACUGUUGAAGGUUGUGCUUUUGUGUAGCUGGAGUUCAUCGGCAGUUCUACAGUGCUUGCGCCAGAGAAACGUCGGUGCUUCUGUACCUGUUAGACGAAGGAGCGUUUGCCAAGUCUUGAAAGGUAGACAUCGGUGACGGUGUAUACGUUGAAAAGGGCCUGCUGAAGAGGCCGGUCCUGGAUGCUAACAACUCAGGCUUUCACUUCGCAGAGGGCCUCCUUAAAGCUCCUUUUUCAAUAGAAGACGUUGAAGGGAGGUCCUUCUUUGGGCGGCUGUCAAAUGCCUUCCACAGAAGGAUCUGUUGGAUUCCAAGAAGGUCAACACCAUAGUAGACUACACAACGCAACAUUUCAGCCUACUUCCAGGGCAGCUGGAGAACUCGUCCCCCUUACUAGCCCGGGGAUAUUAAAUGGAUGUGUUCAAGCACAAA